UACGUAGGUGGCAAGCGUUGUCCGGAUUUACUGGGCGUAAAGAGCGCGCAGGCGGCCAAGUCAGUCGAAUGUGAAAGCCCCCCGGCUCAACUGGGGGAGGGUCACGCGAUACUGGUCGACUCGAAGGCAGGAGAGGGUAGUGGAAUUCCUGGUGUAGCGGUGGAAUGCGCAGAUAUCAGGAGGAACACCGAUGGCGAAGGCAGAUCUCUGGGCCGUGAACUGACGCUGAGGAGCGAAAGCGUGGGGAGCGAACAGG
rnacentral:rRNA from 1 species